CAUAAGAACUCCAUUUGUUUUUCUAAAAACAUUUUUUUGCAACAGUAAAUUCUUGUACCUCUCUGUACUUGUAAGAGUGAAUCGUACAUUAUAUCCACAAUGCAAAAUGGAAUUCAAGAUUGCGCUUACUGCCGUCGUUAUCUUUUCUUUUUUUUUGGGUAAGGGCGCAAAAGCUGCUCAAGAGUGUUAUUAUUGCGAUGGAAAAUGUGCCGAUCCUAUGCAUACAACAAAAUGUUCCGAGUCACACAGAUGUAAGGCGCAAACAAUGAUUGACAAAACUUUCAAAUCGGAACAUAAAGAUUGCCUACGAAAUUCUGAGGUUGAUGUUUUCAUGAACACAUGUGAAGAGCUACGUAAAAUAGCAGAGCCCACUGUAGAACAUGUGAUUCAGGAGAAACAUACCCUUUCUCUUUAAUUUUAUUAUGCGCAAUGACAAUAAUUCUUUGCAAAAUUAUGUAGUUUAUUAUAGCAUUGCGGAAUCUGCAAGUUUUUGUAUAUUGGAGUCUGCAAAUAAUAGUUAUUUACACACGAAAA